rnacentral:lncRNA from 1 species
AUACAUUCAUAUGUAUUUUUUCUCCAUUCCUUCAUCUGAACCGUUUGUUUGAAUUAUUUCUUCCAGACAUGGAUGAUGAUUUUAGGGAGUGCCUGAAGGAUUAUGGGAAUUCCAUAGCUCAAUCAGCUGGGAUGCAUCUAAAGAAAAGCAAGGAGGGGAGAGCCCUCAUGGGUUCAGAGCUUGCAGCCAAGAUAAAGAAUUUCUCGGCUCUCAUGAAGCAGCACCAGUUUGGCUUCUCCUCUGCCAUGCAGAUGGCCAUCACCAUACACAACCUGGAAACCC